rnacentral:rRNA from 1 species
AACGAACGCUGGCGGCGUGGAUAAGACAUACAAGUCGAACGGGACAGACCGAGUAGCAAUAUUUGGAAUGUUCAGUGGCGAACGGGUGCGUAACACGUGGAUAACAUUCCGGAAAGCGGGGAAUAGCCCAGGGAAACUUGGAUUAAUACCGCAUGUGGCCGCAAGGCUAAAGACGGGGACCGCAAGGCCUGUCACUUUCCGAUUGGUCCGCGGCCUAUCAGCUAGUUGGCGGGGUAAUGGCCCACCAAGGCUACGACGGGUAGCUGGUCUUAGAGGACGACCAGCCAAACUGGAAAUGAGACACGGGCCAGAAUCCUACGGGUGGCAGCAGUCGAGAAUCUUUCACAAUUGGGGCAACCCUGAUGGAGCGAAGCCGCGUGGAGGAUAAGGUCUUCGGAUUGUAAUCUCCUGUCAUGCGAGAACAAGGUACUCAGGCUAAUAACCUGAUUGUUUGAUGGUACCGCAAGAGGAAGAGACGGCUAACUCUGUGCCAGCCGCCGCCGUAACAC